rnacentral:lncRNA from 1 species
AAUGUCAACACUGACAUUUUCAAUCUCUUUCUUUUAUGUCACAUUAGUGGAGAGUGACCUGUUGUGUUUGUGGAAGCUCUGGAAUCCCACAGGAGAAGGAUCACUCAGCACUGUGGCAACCUGCCAAGUACAACUUGUUCUGAAACACAGUGGCUCUGAGAAGUUGCAUUAUCAACUGAAACACAGUGUCAGCUUAGCAGGAGGUCAGUUCUGUGAUCAGUCUCGGCAAAUAGCUGCACAAAUGCUGGCCCAAAGGAAGCAGUGAGAAUGCACAGAUGAGAACAGUGAAGGAGAAGCAAUGAGACCAUCCAUUUUUUGGCGGUGGGUUGCCUGUAUGUCACGUUCCAGUGGCAGCAACAAGGUAUCAGUUCACAACAUGCCCUAAGUUGGGCAUAACAGCUUGUUGGUGCUCUUCUCACCCA